UAACCUGCCUUGUAGCGGGGGAGUAACUAUUGGAAACGAUAGCUAAUACCGCAUAACAAUGGAUGACACAUGUCAUUUAUUUGAAAGGGGCAAUUGCUCCACUACAAGAUGGACCUGCGUUGUAUUAGCUAGUAGGUGAGGUAAUGGCUCACCUAGGCGACGAUACAUAGCCGACCUGAGAGGGUGAUCGGCCACACUGGGACUGAGACACGGCCCAGACUCCUACGGGAGGCAGCAUG
rnacentral:rRNA from 1 species